rnacentral:rRNA from 1 species
UGGGCCCGAGUUUGAUCCUGGCUCAGGACGAACGCUGGCGGCAUGCCUAAUACAUGCAAGUCGAGCGAAUGACGAAGAAGCUUGCUUCUUCUGAUUUAGCGGCGGACGGGUGAGUAACACGUGGGCAACCUGCCCUGUAGAUUGGGAUAACUCCGGGAAACCGGGGCUAAUACCGAAUAAUCCAUUUCCUCACAUGGGGAGAUGUUAAAAGACGGCAUCUCGCUGUCACUACAGGAUGGGCCCGCGGCGCAUUAGCUAGUUGGUGAGGUAACGGCUCACCAAGGCGACGAUGCGUAGCCGACCUGAGAGGGUGAUCGGCCACACUGGGACUGAGACACGGCCCAGACUCCUACGGGAGGCAGCAGUAGGGAAUCUUCCACAAUGGACGAAAGUCUGAUGGAGCAAUGCCGCGUGAGUGAAGAAGGUUUUCGGAUCGUAAAACUCUGUUGUGAGGGAAGAACAAGUAUGAGAGUAACUGCUCGUACCUUGACGGUACCUCAUUAGAAAGCCACGGCUAACUACGUGCCAGCAGCCGCGGU